GCGCGAAAACUUUACAAUGCUGGCAACAGCGAUAAGGGAACCUCGAGUGCCAGGUUACAAAUCUGGCUGUCGAGAUGCCUAAAAAGCAUUUCAUAGCAAGGGCCGGGCAAGACCGGUGCCAGCCGCCGCGGUAACACCGGCGGCUCGAGUGGUAACCGUUAUUAUUGGGUCUAAAGGGUCUGUAGCCGGCCGGAUAAGUCUCUUGAGAAAUCCGGCAGCUUAACUGUCAGGCUUUCAGGAGAUACUGUCUGGCUCGAGGCCGGGAGAGGUGAGAGGUACUUCAGGGGUAGGGGUGAAAUCUUGUAAUCCUUGAAGGACCACCAGUGGCGAAGGCGUCUCACCAGAACGGACCUGACGGCAAGGGACGAAAGCUAGGG
rnacentral:rRNA from 1 species